GUCCGUGCUGAAGGUUGAUGAACCUUUACCCAGUGGUGGGCAGCACGUAAUCAUUCAGAUCAAUAAGGAGGCCGAGGAUCUGCUAUAUAAACGCAAUGGGAAGAUGGCGUGGGGCUUAGGGAGCGUGUACCUUCGCCUCAAGAAACGUCAUCCGAACGACAAGGACACACACACGCUGAGGUCAAGGGAGGUUGAGGCAGAUCUCGGUCUUGAGAGCGUGACCGACGCCACCCAGCACCUCAGCUUGACUGAUGAGACGGAGAAGGUGGGGGAGGAACUGUCCAUGAAGACGGGCCCCCCGCGAGUUUGCUAACCUCUAAUGAGUGUGCUGCAACUCAACCUCCAUAGCGGAGGCGGAGCUACUCCUUGCCAUGGAGGAAGUGUCCGCCUACGCGGCUUUGGUCCAAGAACCGUGGAUAGCGUCGGGCAACACGGUGGCUGGGCUGAAGUCGCUUAAUUACGAUCUGUACGUCCCGACAUUGCAAUGACGAUCUUACCGUGGUGGUGCUGGAGAGCCGUGAGGGAUGUUUGCUGCUGGCAUCCUGCUACAUGGCCCACGACAUGCCGGCUCCACCUGACGAGCUGCGGAGGCUGGUGGACAUGG